AGCUUUGUGCAGUGGCAGUAUCGUAGCCAAUGAAGUUUAUCUGAGGUGUGAUUAUUGCUACUUGAAAACUUUUCAGAAUUGAUUGUACUUUCCCUAAAGUACCUCAGGAACAAUACCACUAUG
rnacentral:snRNA from 1 species